AGCAGCCGCGGUAAUUCCAGCUCCAAUAGCGUAUAUUAAAGUUGUUGCAGUUAAAAAGCUCGUAGUUGAAUUUCGGGGUCAGCAGGUUGGUCGUGCCUCUGGUACGCACUGGUUUCGCUGAUUCCUCCUUUCUGAAGAACUGUAAUGUCAUUAAUUUGGUGUUGCAGGGAAACAGGACUGUUACUUUGAAAAAUUAGAGUGUUUAAAGCAAGCUAACGCUUGAAUACAUUAGCAUGGAAUAAUGAAAUAGGACGUUUGAUCCUAUUUUGUUGGUUUCUAGGAUUGACGUAAUGAUUAAUAGGGAUAGUUGGGGGCAUUAGUAUUCAAUUGUCAGAGUGAAAUUCUUGGAUUUAUUGAAGACUAACUACUGCGAAAGCAUUUGCCAAGGAUGUUUUCAUUAAUCAAGAACGAAAGUUAGGGGAUCGAAGACGAUCAGAUACCGUCGUAGUC
rnacentral:rRNA from 1 species